rnacentral:misc_RNA from 1 species
AACCCCCACAUUCACAGAGAGGGUAGGCCGAAAGCCCCAAAACAAGGCAUUGAAAAUAGCUGAGACAUCGCCUUAUUUGAUCUUCUGCAGCUAGUGGAGUGCUCUGAUUCUGAUACGAUACAAGAAGAUCUUUAAUUUCUCUGGGUUCUUUUCAUUUUCAAACUGUAUUCACUGCUCUGCAAGUUUAACAGGAAAUUUAGAUAUGGCUCCCUUAACAAGAAUUGGGCUUGCUGGCCUAGCUGUCAUGGGCCAAAAUCUUGCACUCAACAUUGCUGAGAAAGGAUUCCCAAUUUCUGUUUAUAAUCGAACCACUUCAAAAGUUGAUGAGACAGUUGCACGAGCCAAACAAGAAGGAGAUCUUCCCUUAUAUGGAUUCCAUGAUCCUGAAUCCUUUGUAAGGUCAAUUCAAAAACCUCGUGUGAUAAUCAUGCUUGUUAAGGCUGGACCCCCUGUUGACCAAACUAUCAAGACUUUGUCAGUUUACAUGGAGAAAGGUGACUGCAUCAUUGAUGGUGGUAAUGAGUGGUAUGAGAACACUGAGAGAAGAGAGAAAGCCAUGGCUGAUUUGGGUUUGCUUUAUCUGGGAAUGGGAGUUUCAGGGGGUGAAGAAGGUGCUCGUCAUGGACCAUCUUUAAUGCCUGGAGGUUCCUUUGAGGCCUACAAAUACAUAGAAGACAUCCUCCUUAAGGUGGCUGCUCAGGUUCCUGAUAGUGGCCCUUGUGUCACUUACGUUGGCAAAGGAGGGUCUGGCAAUUUUGUCAAGAUGAUUCACAAUGGGAUUGAAUAUGGUGAUAUGCAGCUGAUUGC